rnacentral:lncRNA from 1 species
AACAUGAAAAUUGACAUGAAUCAAAUUCAAUCAAAUAAGAAACUAUUCCAAAAGGUCUCAUGUCAAUAUCAAUUACCAAAUUCAUUUCACAAAGCAAAUAAGGCAAGGCAUGCAAAUUGAAACCAUAUUGAAGCAAAAGAAUGAUCAAAUGCAUAUUAAUUCCAAAAUGGCUCAAUAAAUCUCAAGAAAAAUCAUGGCUAAACAGGACACAUCAAAUGAUCAACACACCAAAAAUCA